AAGUCGUAACAAGGUUUCCGUAGGUGAACCUGCGGAAGGAUCAUUAACACGUAUCCAAACGUUAAACCCCCCCCGUGAACCUUCAUCGUGCUCUAGUGGGCCACAGAGCUUUGCCAAAGGGUCCCCAUGCCCCUUCCUUCUGCCGAUUUCACACAUUUUCAAUUAUGGAUGGGGUAAAACCGAACAACUGUUAUAUGAUAUCUUGGUUCUC
rnacentral:misc_RNA from 1 species